rnacentral:rRNA from 1 species
AUUGAACGCUGGCGGCAGGCCUAACAGAUGCAAGUCGAACGAGUGGCGGACGGGUGAGUAAUGUCUGGGAAACUGCCCGCUGGAGGGGGAUAACUACUGGAAACGGUAGCUAAUACCGCAUACCAUCGGAUGUGCCCAGAUGGGAUUAGACAGUAGGUGGGGUAACGGAUCACCUAGGCGACGAUCACUAGCUGGUCUGAGAGGAUGACCAGCAACACUGGAACUGUGACACGGGCCAUACUCCUACGGGAGGAAGCAGUGGGGAAUAUUGCACAAUGGGCGCAAGCCUGAUGCAGCAAUGCAGCGUGUAUGAAGAAGGCCUUCGGGUUUGAAAGUACUUUCAGCGAGGAGGCGUUACUCGCAGAAGAAGCACCGGCUAACUCCGUGCCAGCAGCCGCGGUAAUAC